rnacentral:rRNA from 1 species
CCUACGGGCGGCAGCAGUAGGGAAUCUUUCACAAUGGGCGAAAGCCUGAUGGAGCAACGCCGCGUGCAGGAUGAAGGCCUUCGGGUUGUAAACUGCUUUUAUAAGCGAGGAAGAUGAUGGUAACUUAUGAAUAAGGAUCGGCUAACUACGUGCCAGCAGCCGCGGUCAUACGCAGGAUCCGAGACUUAUCCGGAGUAACUUGGGGUAAAGAGUUGCGUAGGUGGAAUAAUAAGUAGCUAUUGAAAUCUGGUGGCUCAACCAUUCAGACUAUUAGCUAAACUGUUAAGCUCGAGACCGUUAGGGGUAACUGGAAUUUCUAGUGUAGCAGUGAAAUCCGUAGAUAUUAGAAGGAACACCAAUGGCGAAGGCAGGUUGCUGGGACGGUUCUGACACUGAGGCAUGAAAGCGUAGGGAGCAAACGGGAUUAGAUACCCCGGUAGUC